ACUCCUACGGGAGGCAGCAGUGAGGAAUAUUGGACAAUGGGCGGGAGCCUGAUCCAGCCAUGCCGCGUGCAGGAAGACGGUCCUAUGGAUUGUAAACUGCUUUUGUACGGGAAGAACAAGGGGCACGUGUGCCCCUCUGACGGUACCGUAAGAAUAAGGAUCGGCUAACUCCGUGCCAGCAGCCGCGGUAAUACGGAGGAUCCGAGCGUUAUCCGGAAUCAUUGGGUUUAAAGGUCCGUAGGGCGGGCCGUUAAGUCAGGGGUGAAAGUCUGCGGCUCAACCGGUAGGACUGCCCUUGAUACUGGCGGCCUUGAGUUAUGGUGAAGNGGCUAGAAUAUGUGGUGUAGCGGUGAAAUGCAUAGAUAUCACAUGGGAAUACCGAUUGCGAAGGCAGGCCACUAACCAUAUACUGACGCUGAUGGAC
rnacentral:rRNA from 1 species